UGCGUCUGCGGUGGGGCGAAGCGUACCUUUUAAUAAUUAAAAAGGCUUUGCAGACAGUCGGGAUACGUUCAGUCUUGUACAUUAAGCUACGCUUAAUUCAAAGCGUU
rnacentral:sRNA from 1 species